rnacentral:rRNA from 1 species
CCUACGGGAGGCAGCAGUGAGGAAUAUUGGUCAAUGGGCGCAAGCCUGAACCAGCCAAGUCGCGUGAGGGAUGACGGUCCUAUGGAUUGUAAACCUCUUUUGUCGGGGAGCAAGGCGCGCCACGUGUGGCGGGAAGGAGAUUCCCCGUAGAAAAAGCAUGGUCAAACCCCGGGCCAGCAGCCGCGGAAAUCCGGAGGACGGGGGCGUUACCGGGAUUUAUGGGUUUUAAGGGAUGAAUAGGCGGAAGGUUAGCUCGGCGGUCAAAGGUAGGGGCUAAACACGGGCAUGCCGUUGAAACUGGUCUGCUUGAGUGAGCGAGACGUAUGCGGAAUGCGUGGUGUAGCGGUGAAAUGCAUAGAUAUCACGCAGAACUCCGAUUGCGAAGGCAGCAUACCGGCGCUCAACUGACGCUGAGGCACGAAAGCGUGGGGAUCGAACAGGAUUAGAUACCCCAGUAGUC